GACAGAGGAUGCGAGUGUUAUCCGGAAUUAUUGGGCGUAAAGCGUCUGUAGGUGGUUUUUUAAGUUUCAUGUUAAACCUUAAAGCUUAACUUUAAUCCUGCAUGAAAAACUAAAAAACUUGAGUUAAUUUUAACGGGUAAAAAGAAUUUUCAGUGUAGCGGUGAAAUGUGCAGAUAUUGAAAGGAAUACCAACAGCGAAAGCAUUUUACUAGAAAUAGACUAACACUAAGAGACGAAAGCUAGGGGAGCAAAUGGG
rnacentral:rRNA from 1 species